UACCAGCACCCCGAGUGGUCGGGACGAUUAUUGGGCCUAAAGCAUCCGUAGCCGGCCUUACAAGUCCCCCGUUAAAUCCAACUGCUUAACAGAUGGGCUGCGGAGGAUACUAUAAGACUAGGAGGCAGGAGAGGCAAGCGGUACUCAGUGGGUAGGGGUAAAAUCCGUUGAUCCAUUGAAGACCACCAGUGGCGAAGGCGGCCAUCUGGACGGUUACUGACGCUGAGACGCGAAAGCGUGGGGAGCAAACAGG
rnacentral:rRNA from 1 species